rnacentral:rRNA from 1 species
AGCGAACGCUGGCGGCAGGCCUAACACAUGCAAGACGAACGAGACCUUCGGGUCUAGUGGCGGACGGGUGAGUAACACGUGGGAACGUGCCUUUAGGUUCGGAAUAACUCAGGGAAACUUGUGCUAAUACCGAAUAUGCCCUUCGGGGGAAAGAUUUAUCGCCUUUAGAGCGGCCCGCGUCUGAUUAGCUAGUUGGUGAGGUAAUGGCUCACCAAUGCUACGAUCAGUAGCUGGUCUGAGAGGAUGGCCAGCCACAUUGGGACUGAGACACGGCCCAAACUCCGACGGGAGGCAGCAGUGGGGAAUCUUGCGCAAUGGGCGAAAGCCUGACGCAGCCAUGCCGCGUGAAUGAUGAAGGUCUUAGGAUUGUAAAAUUCUUUCACCGGGGACGAUAAUGACGGUACCCGGAGAAGAAGCCCCGGCUAACUUCGUGCCAGCAGCCGCCGCGGUAA